UUAGCGUGAGAGGUGGUGGCAUGGCCGUCGUCAGUUCGUACUGUGAAGCAUCCUGUUAAGUCAGGCAACGAGCGAGACCCACGCCCACAGUUGCCAGCGUACUCUCUGGAGUGACGGGUACACUGUGGGGACCGCCGCUGCUAAAGCGGAGGAAGGAAUGGGCAACGGUAGGUCAGUAUGCCCCGAAUAUCCCGGGCUACACGCGAGCUACAAUGGUUGGUACAAUGGGUAUCUACCCGAAAGGGGACGGGAAUCUCCUAAAACCAAUCUUAGUUCGGAUUGAGGGCUGCAACUCGCCCUCAUGAAGCUGGAAUCCGUAGUAAUCGCGUUUCAACAGAACGCGGUGAAUACGUCCCUGCUCCUU
rnacentral:rRNA from 1 species